GCUUGGAAAGGGGAGGCGAAAUCUUCCUGUCAGCUGGAAACAGGAGAAAGUGUUUCAGAUUAUAAAUGUUCAUAAUUCUGCAAAAACCUGAGACCAAAAGAUUUCUAUCUUGACAUCAUGGUGGAUGAAGGAAAAGAGCUCACGGUUCACUGGUAAAGACUGUUAUGGCUGAAAUUGCUAAUGGAACUCAACCUCAGCUAUAUUUGAAGACAUUCCCCGAAUGAAGCAGAGCACACUCAUAAUAACAGCAAUAAUAAGUUCAUUGCAAGGCGUCCUCUGGAAAACUCGACAGCACUACAGAAAUUAUGUGCAGGCAAUGUUGGCACUCGCAUCUGAUUUAAUAUCAGCGUUCUGUACUUUAUGUCAUAUUUCAACAAAGGAUUGUAGGUACAGGUUCUCCAGGAGAACCGAUAAAUCUUUGUGCUGAGGAGUGACUAAUAUGUAGAAGACAUGGAAGAGGAGGAAAAAUGGACACAUUCGUGAAAGAAAUAAAGAACUGGGAGACAAAAGACUUUUCACCUUUCAAGAAAGGGAUGAAUAUUGAAGGAGAAGAGGAGAUGGAUUGGGAGCUCAUUUCUGAAGGUUAGGGUGGUUUUCCUUUUCCUUUUGUUUCUCCCCUAUUCAUUUCAAUGAGAAUUGCAGAGAAUAAUAAUCUAGUUGUUUUGUCUGUGUGAUAAUUGCACCGAUAAUUUAGUAUGAUUUAAAUAAUCAAAUUCAGAGUGUUUUAUAUGUCAGAGUCUGAGAAAGGGUUUUCUCUAAUCUCCAAAGAUGCAUAUUCAUGAUGCCAUUAUAGAUACAGCUAAAGAAUUACAGUAGCAUAGUCUGCUUCAAACAAGUCAUCCAUGGCCUUCUUUUUUAAAGAAGAUGAAACAGUCAAAACACAAGAUGAUUGAUUUGUACUGUCAAAGUUCACCUCCUCUCACUUUGGUAAUGGAUUUCUUUAUCUAUCAACAGCUAUCCCUGUCAUUUAACAUUUGCCUACUGCAGCCUAUACUCAGGUUUAAGUGCUGUGUCAAGCAAAUUCAUGCCUUGAUCUUUUUCUGCCAUCUCUAACUCAUGUUUUGUUCUUUCCACCACAGCAGACCAGGUCCUUGGUGUGCUACCAUGUGUCUUGUGCCUUGGUGGGUGUGCUGUGCGCUCUACUGAAUGCCAGGCUCCGGCUACAGCCAGGGGCUGCUUCUGCUUCCCAGGACAUGAGCCAUGGGAUGUCCCACAGCCACCUUCAUGCCUGGGUUUCUCAUCUAUUUAUUGUCACUGCUUCAAAUGCCAACUGCAGGAGCCCCAUUUUGUGUGACACUUCAUUUUCUCAGCAUAGUAUAUCCCUGUUUUCCAGAUUAUUGUAUGUGUGGUUGGAGCUACGGAUAUUGUUAAAUGAGAAAAAAUAAUGGUUGUAAGAAAGAAUGCAAGAA